CAAAAUAGAUACUCUGGAUACUUAUUUCAUUUCAAGGACUUCAACAAAACAUACAUUCACUCGAAAAGCUUCAAGCCUUUCACUUUAAAUCCACUCUUCACAAACAUAGAGCGAUGCAUUCCAGAUUUCAAUUAUGCAAGCUACCCGUCUCCUCGUUUUCUGAAAUGGCGUGAAGACGUGUCUCCUCGUGUUCUGAAAUAGGAGAUGCAUUUUCUUUUGCCCCCAUACAAGCCGUUGCGUCGCUGCCCCUGUUUGAGGGAGUUAAUCGAGGAUAAAAAUUAGCUCAAACGAAUACAAACCCAUAAAAAUUGUACUGAAAAUUAUGCCCUCUUACAUUUGCUGCCCUGGGCAAUGGCCCAGUUCGCCCAGCCUUCAGGCCGGCCCUGGUUACCGUCUUCCCCACUUAUUCAUCUGUCGGCGAAUUAAUCAGCCAUUUGGAUGCAAGAAGAAAAGCAGGGGUAUCUAGCAACUACAAGAGACAAUUUCUAGCAAAUCUGAGCCAUGAGUGACAACACCAUUGGCUGCAGUCAUUGGAUAGCUAGACAUUCUUAUAUCUAAUGAAUGUCUAAUAAACGAACAAUACGCAACAAUUAGCCAAACUCAUACACGUUCAAGAACUCUCCUUCGUCUCCUGAACAUUAUUUUGGACAUCUGUAUAGUGUAUAGUGCAAAAAGCAUGAUGUGGAAACUGUCAUAGAUCUCUCUGAUGAUAUGCCAAAGGUAGUUCAAGGGGACUCCAAUAGAGUUGUUUGAAUUUUUGCUAAUCUAAUCAACAACUCAAUCAAAUUUUCAAAUGAAGUCUGAUUUGGAAGAAGCCAAAACACAGGAAAAUGCAAAACUGCAAUUUGUUUUACAGGAUAUGCAAUCUCAAUUCUAAGAGACUAAAGAGUUGCUCAUGAAGGAACUUGAAACUAUCAAAAAGGUAGUUGAAACUGUUGCCUUCAUCCAGGAAGUCCAAGUUGUUGACCAUUGAAAAUGAAAAGCUAAAGGUGAUGCAGGUCAUUUAUGAGCUUGAGUGUACCUUUAUAAAUAUGAUUUGUUUAGCUCUCUGCGCGUAUAGUUGAAUAGCCACAAACUCCUCAUGUUAAGAUGUAAAUCCAUCUCAUUAUUUUUAUCGUUCUAUUCUUUCUUUGGGCGAAUCGUCACUUUGCAAGAGAGAUACUAGGAAUUUGAAUAAUGACUAUGAUAACAAGGCUAAAAGAACACCAAUUAAUCAUCAACAUGUAUGAUGAUAUCCAUUCUUUUUGCAACUAAAUCCGAUGAAUAGUGGUAUUAUUAUUGUGUUCAUUCAAAUUUUGUUGCAGGAAAAUGUUACCGCUCUUAUUGAAUGUGUUAAGAAAGACAUUGGAUUCAGUCAAGGGAAACCUGUUGCUGCAUUUACUAUAUACAAAAGCCUUAUCCAAUGGAAGUCUUUUGAAGCCGAAAGGAGUAGCGUGUUUGAUCGUCUCAUUCAGACGAUUGGUUUAGCCAUCAAGGUUUUCAUUAUUUUUAUUCUAGAUUUAUUAAAAGUAAAAGUUUUUUUUUUUUUCAGGACCAAGAUAAUAAUGAACACCUGGAAUAUUAGUUAUCGAAUUUGUCAACUUUGUUGUUUUUAAUACAAAGGAGUAUUAAAUCUGAUGGUGCAGAUUCAGUCCGUAAACCUCCACCUCCAACUUCACUGUUUGGGAGAAUGAUAAUGUUGAGGUAGUACGCCAGGAAACAUUUGCAGAAUACACAGCAAGAACAGCAUUCGAGCGACCUUUGUUGAGUGGAGUUGCAAAUGCACAAAGGGUAAUGAAUUACGAGAGAGAAGACCUCGAGAGACAACAUGAUGGGAACAUAAGAACAAUGACGAAAGAGCCCUCGCCAUUUCGUGACGGAUAUGCCCCUGUAAUUUUCGCUCAAGAAACUGUUUCCUAUCUUAAAUUGAACAAACAACGGAAAAAAUUGUCGCAUCCGACCCCCGCAACGCAGGGGUUCCCCACCGAGUUGUGAUUUACUUCUUUGUUUUUUUACCUUUUUUUCUUUUCUCCCUUUGGGUUUAAUUUUCAUAUUGCAAGAAGAAAUCGAGGAUCUGACAUAUUGUCAUUGUGAAGAAAAAUUGAAAAAUAUCAUAAUUUAGUAAUUUCAACAUAUUGUUUUGUCA